CGCGUAGGUGGUAGUGCAAGUCUGGGGUGGAAUCUUAGGGCUUAACCCUAAAACUGCCUUGGAAACUGCAUUACUUGAGUCAGUGAGGGGAGGGUAGAAUUCCUGGUGUAGCGGUGAAAUGCGUAGAUAUCAGGAGGAAGGCCGGUGGCGAAGGCGGCCCUCUGGCGCUGAACUGACACUGAGGCGCGAAAGCGUGGGGAGCAAACAGGAUUAGAUACCCUGGUAGUCCACGCCCUAAACGGUGGGCACUAGGUGUAGGGCUCGUAAGGGUUCUGUGCCGAAGGGAACCAUUAAGUGCCCCGCCUGGGGAGUACGGCCGCAAGGUUGAA
rnacentral:rRNA from 1 species